rnacentral:rRNA from 1 species
UGCAUGGAGCCGGCCUUGAAAUACCACCCUUUAAUGUUUGAUGUUCUAACGUUGACCCGUGAUCCGGGUUGCGGACAGUGUCUGGUGGGUAGUUUGACUGGGGCGGUCUCCUCCUAAAGAGUAACGGAGGAGCACGAAGGUUGGCUAAUCCUGGUCGGACAUCAGGAGGUUAGUGCAAUGGCAUAAGCCAGCUUGACUGCGAGCGUGACGGCGCGAGCAGGUGCGAAAGCAGGUCAUAGUGAUCCGGUGGUUCUGAAUGGAAGGGCCAUCGCUCAACGGAUAAAAGGUACUCCGGGGAUAACAGGCUGAUACCGCCCAAGAGUUCAUAUCGACGGCGGUGUUUGGCACCUCGAUGUCGGCUCAUCACAUCCUGGGGCUGAAGUAGGUCCCAAGGGUAUGGCUGUUCGCCAUUUAAAGUGGUACGCGAGCUGGGUUUAGAACGUCGUGAGACAGUUCGGUCCCUA